UACGGAGGAUCCAAGCGUUAUCCGGAUUUAUUGGGUUUAAAGGGUGCGUAGGCGGCCUGUUAAGUCAGGGGUGAAAGACGGUAGCUCAACUAUCGCAGUGCCCUUGAUACUGAUGGGCUUGAAUGUACUAGAGGUAGGCGGAAUGUGACAAGUAGCGGUGAAAAUGCAUAGAUAUGUCACAGAACACCAAUUGCGAAGGCAGCUUACUAUGGUAUGAUUGACGCUGAGGCACGAAAGCGUGGGGGAUCAAACAGG
rnacentral:rRNA from 1 species